AUCCAUCUUGGCUGAGCGAUGCGUGUGCCACCAGGAAAGACUCUGAAUUAGAAUGAUUGGCCAAAGACCACCUGGAAACUAAUCCCAUCACCAUAAAACAUGACAUUGGACAUUGUGAGCCUGCAAAGCAGUUCUCCUGGGUUCCCUUACCCUACUGCUCUCCACCCGGGUGCCUUUUCCCAAUAAAAUCUCUUGCUUUGUCAGCAUAUGUGUCUCCUAAGACAAUUCAUUUCCGAGUGUUAGACAAGAGCCCAGUUUCGGGCCCUGGAAGGGGUCCCCCUUCCUCCAACAAAUGGCGACUCUGGCGGGACUCUUCUUCACUGAGACUGACAUCCUGACCACUUGGGGUACUCAGGGGCCAGCUUGCCUGGCAAUGGACCAGACCCAGCGGCCGCAACUGGGACCCUUUUGUCCCUGGUCUCCUCCUGACGCGGACAACUGGCCAGAGUGCCCCGACUGGAUCAGAUGCCUCAUGACCCACAACCAGGACUAGAAAAGGACAUAAUUUAAGGGACUGUCUCCAACCUGGAUGGAAGGACUUUUUUAUCAGGAGAAACUACACUACACCUGGAUGAGAAGAUGACGACAUCAGAGGUAGACAGCUUCCCCAAGAUGCUGGACCUGAUUCAUAUGAACAUUUAUGUUUUCUUGACGUCUUAGACCUUUGCAUAUAAAUCAAAUGCUUUUCUAUCA